rnacentral:rRNA from 1 species
ACUCCCGGCACGGNGAGGUAGUGACGAAAAAUAACGAUACGGGACUCAUCCGAGGCCCCGUAAUCGGAAUGAGUACACUCUAAACCCUUUAACGAGUAUCCAUUUGGAGGGCAAGUCUGGUGCCAGCAGCCGCGGUAAUUCCAGCUCCAAUAGCGUAUAUUAAAGUUGUUGCGGUUAAAAAGCUCGUAGUUGGACUUGUGUCCCACGCUGUCGGUUCACCGUUCGUCGGUGUUUAACUGGCAUGCCCGUGCGGACGUCCUGCCGGUGGAUGCGGUCGGCCGUGGGCCUCUGGUCUGCGUGUCGGCGGUCCGAUGCAAUCCUACCGCGGUGCUCUUCACCGAGUGUCGAGGUGGGCCGGCACGUUUACUUUGAACAAAUUAGAGUGCUCAAAGCAGGCAGUGGUUCGCCUGAAUAUUGUGUGCAUGGAAUAAUGGAAUAGGACCUCGGUUCUAUUUUGUUGGUUUUCGGAACCUGAGGUAAUGAUUAAUAGGGACAGACGGGGGCAUUCGUAUUGCGACGUUAGAGGUGAAAUUCUUGGAUCGUCGCAAGACGAACCUAAGCGAAAGCAUUUGCCAUGAGUGUUUUCAUUAAUCAAGAACGAAAGUUAGAGGUUCGAAGGCGAUCAGAUACCGCCCUAGUUCUAACCAUAAACGAUGCCAGCUAGCGAUCCGCCGAAGUUCCUCCGAUGACUCGGCGGGCAGCUUCCGGGAAACCAAAGCUUUUGGGUUCCGGGGGAAGUAUGGUUGCAAAGCUGAAACUUAAAGGAAUUGACGGAAGGGCACCACCAGGAGUGGAGCCUGCGGCUUAAUUUGACUCAACACGGGAAACCUCACCANGCCCGGACACCGGAAGGAUUGACAGAUUGAUAGCUCUUUCUU